rnacentral:lncRNA from 1 species
CCCUUGAUUGAUCCCGCCCCGGCUCCUGAAUUCAGAAUCCUGCACACCAGCCCACUCCACCCGGGCGGAGCGCAUCCCAUCCUCACCGACACCUGAGCCAGCACAGCCUCCCCUGCAGGCCGGCUUCACUGUCCCAUGGUCCCACUGCCACAGCUGCCCCUCGCCCAGUGCCCACUGUGUGCGGGGAGCCCCAAGUGGCAUCACAGCCUGGUACAGGGAUCCCAUGGUCUCCGUGCUGCCAUCAUGCCCUCCCUGCCACUUUCCAGUCUGGACCAGACUGGAGCGGGUGUGCUGGAGGCAAGCGGGCCCAUGACCACAAGUGAAGGGCAGCUCAAGGACAGAGAGGAAGUCCCGCAAGUUAGCAUGUGAGCCAGAAGGACAGAAGGCCAGGAGUCCACCCUGCCUGGUCCUGUGGGCUCUGUGCCCUGGUUAUUCUGAACCCCAGUCCUGACCCCAGGCCCACGACAGGCAGGGAGUGAUCAACUCCACUCUGAACCUCAGUUUCCAAAGCAAGGGUCCCACCGGGGACCCCCGCGGCACAUCCUUGUCAUCACUCGCCUAGCAAAGGUAAAAGACAAUGAAUUGUGACCCACAGAUGCCUACCUGAGCCCCGCCUGAGCCCCCGAGUGCCACCUGUACGUAUCCCACCAUACCCACACGAUCCCCCGCCUGCACCCCACCAUCUGAACCUGGCUCUGCUGCUGCCCUCCCCGCAUGGCAGGCCCUACAGGCUGCUUCCCGGCUCUGCAGCCUCCAGCCGGGGCCAGUGCAUGCAGGGCUGUGUUCUCUGCACCCUCCAUGCUACCGGUUUCCUUGUGUGUCCCAAGGUGCUGCCCACACCUUGUCCACCCUCAACCCUCGGGCCAGGGGGUGGCUCCUAAACACCCUGGCAAUCAGCCCUUCAUAUCUGGCCACCACGUCUGUCCACCAUCCAGGUUCCAUGGCGCCCAUUUGGAUGCCCGCUUCCUCCUUGCACCUUUCCCAGUCCUGGCAGAAACAGGUGUUGAUAGAGAGGCCCAGCCCUGCCAAAGACCAGAGGCUGAGUCCCAGCUGGACAUGGAGUGGCGUCCUGGGGCAGCAUCUGUGGCAGAGGAUCCAGUUUUUCCCCAGCAUGGGCACCCCUGUAGUAUCAGAUUUACAAGGAGAUACAAAGGGCAUCCUCAGAGAGGAAGGCAGGAAAGUGUUCCUGUCCCUAAGGGCCCCAUUUCCCAGACAAGGCAGCAGCAAACACCAGCUGGCUGAACCUAAUCGGGUACUUGAGGGUGACCGGGACUGCAAGGCAGGGCCUGCUCAUGGG